GAAGUCGGAAAAAUGGAUCCGUAACUUCGGGAAAAGGAUUGACUCUGAGAGCUGGGCACGGGGUCCCAGUCCCAAAUCCGUCAGCUGUCGGUGAACUGCUCGAGCUGCUCCCACGGCGAGAGCGGGUCGCCGUGUGCCGAUCGGGGGACGGAGUGGGAACGGUUCCUUCCGGGGCCUUCCUCGAGUGUCGAACAACCAACUCAGAAUUGGUACGGACAAGGGGAAUCCGACUGUUUAAUUAAAACAAAGCAUUGCGAUGGUCCCAACGGAUGUUUACGCAAUGUGAUUUCGUCGAACAACCAACUCAGAAUUGGUACGGACAAGGGGAAUCCGACUGU
rnacentral:ncRNA from 1 species